rnacentral:rRNA from 1 species
UAACGCCAAAAGAUGAGCCUGCACUUGAUUAGCUAGUUGGUAAGGUAAUGGCUUACCAAGGCUACGAUCAAUAGCUGAUCUGAGAGGAUGAUCAGCCACAUUGGGACUGAGACACGGCCCAAACUCCUACGGGAGGCAGCAGUGGGGAAUCUUGCACAAUGGGGGAAACCCUGAUGCAGCGAUGCCGCGUGAGUGAAGAAGGCCUUUGGGUUGUAAAGCUCUUUCGUCGGGGAAGAAAAUGACUGUACCCGAAUAAGAAGGUCCGGCUAACUUCGUGCCAGCAGCCGCGGUAAUACGAAGGGACCUAGCGUAGUUCGGAAUUACUGGGCUUAAAGAGCACGUAGGUGGUUAAGAAAGUUGGUGGUGAAAUCCCAAGGCUUAACCUUGGAACUGCCACCAAAACUUUUUAACUAGAGUAUGAUUGAGGUAAGCGGAAUUUCUAGUGUAGAGGUGAAAUUCGUAGAUAUUAGAAAGAACACCAAUUGCGAAGGCAGCUUUCUGGAUCAUUACUGACACUGAGGUGCGAAAGCAUGGGUAGCGAAGAGGAUUAGAUACCCUCGUAGUCCAUGCCGUAAACGAUGUGUGCUAGACGUUGGGAAUUUAUUUUUCAGUGUCGCAGCAAAAGCGUUAAGCACACCGCCUGGGGAGUACGACCGCAAGGUUAAAACUCAAAUGAAUUGACGGGGACCCGCACAAGUAGUGGAGCAUGUGGUUUAAUUCGAAGAUACGCGCAGAACCUUACCAACACUUGACAUGUUCGUCGCGACUCUAAGAGAUUAGAGUUUUCGGUUCGGCCGGACGAAACACAGGUGCUGCAUGGCUGUCGUCAGCUCGUGUCGUGAGAUGUUGGGUUAAGUCCCGCAACGAGCGCAACCCUUACUUUUAGUUGCUAAAGAACUGCCAGUGAUAAGCUGGAGGAAGGUGGGGAUGACGUCAAGUCCUCAUGGCCCUUAUGUGUUGGGCUACACACGUGCUACAAUGGUAUUUACAGUGGGAUGCAAAGAGGCAACUCCAAGCCAACCCUCAAAGAAUACCUCAGUUCGGAUUGUACUCUGCAACUCGAGUACAUGAAGCUGGAAUUACUAGUAAUCGCGGAUCAGCGCGCCGCGGUGAAUACGUUCCCGGGUCUUGUACACACCGCCCGUCACACCAUGGAAGUUGGUUACACCUUAAGGCAAAG